rnacentral:rRNA from 1 species
CCCGAAUUAGAGAUAUUUAAGGAUAUGUUUUUUUUAUAUGUUUUAUAUUAUUAAUAAAUUUAUUUUUAGUAAUUAAAAGUUAGUCGUUCUCUAUAUAUAUCUGGUUUUAUGGGAAUUAAAUUUAAUUUAGGUUCAUUAUUUUUUUUUUGUACUUAUAUGAUUGGGGAUAAUCUUGAUUUUUUGUUAAAAUUUGUUUUAUUUAAUUUUUUUUAUCUUUAGUAUUUUUGAAUUUAGUUUGUAAUAAAUUUAGAUUCUUCUUUAUGAUUUUUUAUUUAUUUAUCUUAUUACUAUAUUUAUUUAAUUAAUUUUUAUUUAUAUUUAUUAAUGAUUUAAUUAGUAUAAUUUUUUUAUAUUUAUUUAUGAAUUCGACAAAUUUAAUUUUCAACUGUUUAUCAAAAACAUUUCUUUAAGAUUUUAUUUAAGGUAGGUUCUGCCCUAUGAUUAAUUUAAAUGGCUGCAGUAUUUUGACUGUGCAAAGGUAGCAUAAUAAUUAGCUUCUUAAUUAGGGGCUUGUAUGAAUGAAUUAAUGAGAAAUUUAUUUUAUUGUAAUUAUUUUUAUAAAUUAAUUUUUAAGUUAAAAUGCUUAAAUGUAUUAUUGGGACGAUAAGACCCUGUAGAACUUUCAAUUUGUGUUAAUUUGUUUUAAUUUGGGAGUUUAUUAUUUAAAUUAUUAUAAAUUUUUUGCUGGGGUGGUGGAUAAAUAUUAACUUUAUUUUUUUAUAUCAUUAAUUUAUGUUUUUUUGAUCUGGUUAUAUAUCGAUUUUAAGAUUAAGUUACCUCAGGGAUAACAGCGUAAUUUUAAUGGAAAGUUCAUAUUUAUAUUAAAGUUUGCGACCUCGAUGUUGAAUUAAGAUUAAGUUAUGGGGUAGGUUCUUUAAUAUUAGGUCUGUUCGACCUUUAAAUUCUUACAUGAUUUGAGUUCAAACCGGUGUAAGCCAGGUUGGUUUCUAUCUAAUUAUUUAUUAAUCUUUUUAGUACGAAAGGACCAUUGGAUUCUAUAUUAUAGUUUGUUUGAAUAUUA